rnacentral:rRNA from 1 species
AACGAACGCUGGCGGCAUGCCUAACACAUGCAAGUCGAACGAGACCUUCGGGUCUAGUGGUGCACGGGUGCGUAACGCGUGGGAACCUGCCCUUAGGUUCGGAAUAACUCCCCGAAAGGGGUGCUAAUAUCGGAUAAUGUCUUCGGACCAAAGAUUUAUCGCCUUUGGAUGGGCCCGCGUUGGAUUAGCUAGUUGGUAGGGUAAAAGCCUACCAAGGCGACGAUCCAUAGCUGGUCUGAGAGGAUGAUCAGCCACACUGGGACUGAGACACGGCCCAGACUCCUACGGGAGGCAGCAGUGAGGAAUAUUGGACAAUGGGCGAAAGCCUGAUGCAGCAAUGCCGAGUGAGUGAUGAAGGCCUUAGGGUUGUAUAGCUCUUUUACCCGGGAUGAUAAUGACAGUACCGGGGGAAUAAGCUCCGGCUAACUCCGUG